ACACAUGCAAGUCGAACGGAGCUUAGAGAGCUUGCUUUUUAAGCUUAGUGGCGAACGGGUGAGUAACGCGUGAGUAACCUGCCCUAGAGUGGGGGACAACAGUUGGAAACGACUGCUAAUACCGCAUAAGCCCACGGUACCGCAUGGUACUGAGGGAAAAGGAUUUAUUCGCUUUAGGAUGGACUCGCGUCCAAUUAGCUAGUUGGUGAGGUAACGGCCCACCAAGGCGACGAUUGGUAGCCGGACUGAGAGGUUGAACGGCCACAUUGGGACUGAGACACGGCCCAGGCUCCUACGGGAGGCAGCAGUGGGGGAUAUUGCACAAUGGGGGAAACCCUGAUGCAGCGACGCCGCGUGGAGGAAGAAGGUUUUCGGAUUGUAAACUCCUGUCGUUAGGGACGAUAAUGACGGUACCUAACAAGAAAGCACCGGCUAACUACGUGCCAGCAGCCGCGGUAAAACGUAGGGUGCAAGCGUUGUCCGGAAUUACUGGGUGUAAAGGGAGCGCAGGCGGGAAGACAAGUUGGAAGUGAAAACCAUGGGCUCAACCCAUGAAUUGCUUUCAAAACUGUUUUUCUUGAGUAGUGCAGAGGUAGAUGGAAUUCCCGGUGUAGCGGUGGAAUGCGUAGAUAUCGGGAGGAACACCAGUGGCGAAGGCGGUCUACUGGGCACCAACUGACGCUGAGGCUCGAAAGCAUGGGUAGCAAACAGGAUUAGAUACCCUGGUAGUCCAUGCCGUAAACGAUGAUUACUAGGUGUUGGGGGAUUGACCCCCUCAGUGCCGCAGUUAACACAAUAAGUAAUCCACCUGGGGAGUACGACCGCA
rnacentral:rRNA from 1 species